rnacentral:tRNA from 2 species
GCCGCUGUAGCUCAGUGGUAGAGCGCACCCUUGGUAAGGGUGAGGUCGUGGGUUCAAAUCCCACCAGCGGCU